rnacentral:rRNA from 1 species
GCUUCACGGCGUCACCGAGAGAUGGGUCCGCCCCCCAUUAGCUAGUUGGUGAGAUAACAGCUCACCAAGGCUUCGAUGGGUAGCCGAGCUGAGAGGUUGAUCGGCCACACUGGGACUGAGACACGGCCCAGACACCUACGGGUGGCAGCAGUAGGGAAUAUUGGACAAUGGGCGAAAGCCUGAUCCAGCCAUGCCGCGUGAGUGACGAAGGUCUUCGGAUUGUAAAACUCUUUUCUGAGGGAAGAACAUCUGGGUGAGGAAAUGCUCCCAGCUUGACGGUACCUCAGGAAUAAGGGACGGCUAACUCCGUGCCAGCAGCCGCGGUAAUACGGAGGUCCCAAGCGUUGUUCGGAAUUACUGGGCGUAAAGGGAGCGCAGGCGGACAGGUUAGUCUAAAGUGGAAGCCCGGGGCUCAACCUCCGAAGGUCUUUGGAUACUGCCUGUCUUGAGUUUGUCAGAGGAAAGCGGAAUUCAGGGUGUAGCGGUGAAAUGCUUAGAUAUCCUGAGGAACACCGAUGGCGAAAGCAGCUUUCUGGGACAUGACUGACGCUGAGGCUCGAAAGCGUGGGUAGCAAACGGGAUUAGAUACCCCGGUAGUCCACGCCGUAAACGUUGUGCACUAGGUGCAGGAGGUAUCGACCCCUUCUGUGCCGCAGCUAACGCAUUAAGUGCACCGCCUGGGGAGUACGGUCGCAAGACUGAAACUCAAAGGAAUUGACGGGGGCCCGCACAAGCGGUGGAGCAUGUGGUUUAAUUCGAGGCAACGCGAAGAACCUUACCAGACUUGACAUCGCAGGACCGUCAUGGAAACAUGAUUUUCCCUUCGGGGACCUGCAGACAGGUGUUGCAUGGCUGUCGUCAGCUCGUGUCGUGAGAUGUUGGGUUAAGUCCCGCAACGAGCGCAACCCCUGUCCUUAGUUACCAGCGGUUCGGCCGGGCACACUAGGGAGACUGCCGGUGACAAACCGGAGGAAGGUGGGGAUGACGUCAAGUCCUCAUGGCCUUUAUGUCCAGGGCUACACACGUGCUACAAUGGCGCAUACAGAGGGAUGCCAACUCGCGAGAGGGAGCCGACCCCAGAAAGUGCGCCGUAGUUCGGAUUGCAGUCUGCAACUCGACUGCAUGAAGUCGGAAUCGCUAGUAAUCGCGGAUCAGAACGCCGCGGUGAAUACGUUCCCGGGCCUU